AACGAACGCUGGCGGCAUGCCUAACACAUGCAAGUCGAACGAUGCCUUCGGGCAUAGUGGCGCACGGGUGCGUAACGCGUGGGAAUCUGCCUUUCGGUUCGGAAUAACUCAGGGAAACUUGAGCUAAUACCGGAUAACGUCGCAAGACCAAAGAUUUAUCACCGAAAGAUGAGCCCGCGUAGGAUUAGCUAGUUGGUGAGGUAAAGGCUCACCAAGGCGACGAUCCUUAGCUGGUCUGAGAGGAUGAUCAGCCACACUGGGACUGAGACACGGCCCAGACUCCUACGGGAGGCAGCAGUGGGGAAUAUGGGACAAUGGGCGAAAGCCUGAUCCAGCAAUGCCGCGUGAGUGAUGAAGGCCUUAGGGUUGUAAAGCUCUUUUACCCGGGAAGAUAAUGACGGUACCGGGAGAAUAAGCCCCGGCUAAC
rnacentral:rRNA from 1 species